AGAGUUUGAUCAUGGCUCAGAAUCAACGCUGGCGGCGUGCCUAAUACAUGCAAGUCGAACGCGAAAGUCUCGCAAGGGAUGAGUAGAGUGGCAAACGGGUGAGUAACGCGUGGGUGACCUGCCUUCGAGUGGGGGAUAACGUUCCGAAAGGAGCGCUAAUACCGCAUGACAUUCGACCUUUGAACAGGUGGAAAUCAAAGCCGGGGACCGCAAGGCCUGGCGCUCGAAGAGGGGCCCGCGUCCGAUUAGCUAGUUGGUGAGGUAACGGCUCACCAAGGCAACGAUCGGUAGCCGGCCUGAGAGGGCGGACGGCCACACUGGGACUGAGACACGGCCCAGACUCCUACGGGAGGCAGCAGUAGGGAAUUGUUCGCAAUGGGCGCAAGCCUGACGACGCAACGCCGCGUGGAGGAUGAAGAUCUUCGGGUCGUAAACUCCUUUCGAUCGAGACGAAUGAUCUCCGGAUUAACACUUCGGAGAAAUGACGGUACCGAGAGAAGAAGCCCCGGCUAACUCCGUGCCAGCAGCCGCGGUAAUACGGGGGGGGCAAGCGUUGUUCGGAAUUACUGGGCGUAAAGGGCUCGUAGGUGGCCAACUAAGUCGGACGUGAAAUCCCUCGGCUUAACCGGGGAACUGCGUCCGAUACUGGAUGGCUUGAGUGUGGGAGAGGGAUGCGGAAUUCCAGGUGUAGCGGUGAAAUGCGUAGAUAUCUGGAGGAACACCGGUGGCGAAGGCGGCAUCCUGGACCAUAACUGACACUGAAUAGCGAAAGCCAGGGGAGCAAACGGGAUUAGAUACCCUAGUAGUCC
rnacentral:rRNA from 1 species